AAAAAAACAUUAGCACCCCACAAAUGAUCAGUAAUUAUUGUUAAUAAUAUUAUUAUAAUAUACUAGUAUAAUAGCAACAUUAUUGAAAGAUUUCAAUCAAAGGAUUGCAGCAUGUUUUGACCCCCAUUGACUAUGCACAAAUUAAAAGGCUGUGUUCACUUUUCAAUUUUGACUUUGAAACUCACCACUAAAUGUGAAAUUGUAAUGAUUUAGGAAUUAAACAGUUCUUGCAAUAUACUUAAUCACCUUAUAUAUUUUUAUUUUAUUUAAAAAAAAAAAGAAGUGGUGGGUGGGGCCCAGGCAUGAAAAACAUAGGCGUGGGGAAAGAGGGGAGCAUGAAAAACAGAGUACAAGUAUGUUGGGAUGUAAGGAGACAUUUUUUUUGCAUGUAAGAAAACU
rnacentral:lncRNA from 1 species